UACGGGGGGGGCAAGCGUUGUUCGGAAUUACUGGGCGUAAAGGGCGCGUAGGCGGUUGGAUAAGUUGGUGGUGAAAACCUCGAGCUUAACUCGGGGCCCUGCCAUCAAUACUGUCCGGCUGGAGUGUGGGAGAGGAGACUGGAAUUUACGGUGUAGCGGUGAAAUGCGUAGAUAUCGUAAGGAAGACCAGUGGCGAAGGCGGGUCUCUGGACAGUUCCUGACGCUGAGGCACGAAGGUCAGGGGGAGCAAACGGG
rnacentral:rRNA from 1 species